ensembl:snoRNA small nucleolar RNA, C/D box 113-5
UGGAUCCGUGAUGAGUCCUGGUGGAGGUGUCUGAAUCAACAUCUUUGGUGAAGCCCUCUGUGUAACUCUGAGAUCCAU